AGGAGAAAAAAAACAAGUGCCAACGAUGACUGUUUCGAAUGCGCGGCGCGUGGUGGACGAACUAAGGAAUGCUCGUUGCCACAUGCCUCGUCACAUUAAC
rnacentral:sRNA from 1 species